GACGUGACUUCAGAGUUUGAUCCUGGCUCAGGAUGAACGCUAGCGGCAGGCCUAACACAUGCAAGUCGAGGGAGAGGCCUUCGGGCUGAAACCGGCGCACGGGUGCGUAACGCGUAUACAAUCUGCCUUUCACAUAGGGAUAGCCCGAAGAAAUUUGGAUUAAUACCUAAUAGUAUAUAAGAGCGGCAUCGUUUUUAUAUUAAAGCUACGGUGGUGAAAGAUGAGUAUGCGUUCUAUUAGCUAGUUGGAGAGGUAACGGCUCCCCAAGGCGACGAUAGAUAGGGGUUCUGAGAGGGAUGUCCCCCACACUGGUACUGAGAUACGGACCAG
rnacentral:rRNA from 1 species